CGUGUAGGCGGGAUUGCAAGUCAGAUGUGAAAACUGGGGGCUCAACCUCCAGCCUGCAUUUGAAACUGUAGUUCUUGAGUGCUGGAGAGGCAAUCGGAAUUCCGUGUGUAGCGGUGAAAUGCGUAGAUAUACGGAGGAACACCAGUGGCGAAGGCGGAUUGCUGGACAGUAACUGACGCUGAGGCGCGAAAGCGUGGGAGCAAACA
rnacentral:rRNA from 1 species